rnacentral:rRNA from 1 species
AAAGGAAUUGACGGGGACCCGCACAAGCGGUGGAUGAUGUGGUUUAAUUCGAUGCAACGCGAAAAACCUUACCCACCUUUGACAUGUACGGAAGUCGCUAGAGAUAGCUUCGUGCUCGAAAGAGAGCCGUAACACAGGUGCUGCAUGGCUGUCGUCAGCUCGUGUCGUGAGAUGUUGGGUUAAGUCCCGCAACGAGCGCAACCCUUGCCAUUAGUUGCUACAUUUAGUUGAGCACUCUAAUGGGACUGCCGGUGACAAACCGGAGGAAGGUGGGGAUGACGUCAAGUCCUCAUGGCCCUUAUAGGUGGGGCUACACACGUCAUACAAUGGCUGGUACAAAGGGUUGCCAACCCGCGAGGGGGAGCUAAUCCCAUAAAGCCAGUCGUAGUCCGGAUCGCAGUCUGCAACUCGACUGCGUGAAGUCGGAAUCGCUAGUAAUCGUGGAUCAGAAUGUCACGGUGAAUACGUUCCCGGGUCUUGUACACACCGCCCGU